ensembl:lncRNA
GGCUAAUUGAUGAUUAGAAAACCCUUGUGCAGUUAUGUUAGCACAUGAAUAAAAGUGUGAGCUUUCAUGGAAAACAUGAAAUUGUCUGGGUGACAGCAAAUUUUUGAACGGUAGUGUCCAUAUUUCUUCUAAAAAAGCUAAAAACAAGCUAUUAAUUUAUUUUUAGACCAUUUUUGGAAAUAGGAAUCUAAUUUCCCUUUACAUAAAAGACAUUUUUGUUUGACAAAUAGUGAGAAAUAACAGGAAAAAGCAAGACUUUCUGUCCAAUAAGGAAACACAGACUCAAUUCUUUUACCGUCCCACAAAAUGCCCAUCCUGAACACAUAUUGAUUUAUGUAGUAAACAAAAGUGUUUGAUUCUAGUUAACAGGUUAGCUUUGUUGAAAGUUUACAGGUGGAAUUGUUUUGCCUUUUUAGUAAUUGUUUCAGAAUGAGGUCGUACUGGUAUACUGCAAAUAGCCUCAUUCAACUGCUGUAGUAACCCUUAUUAUGGCAAAAAUUGCUCAAAAAUGUUGCUUUUUCAAACUUUUUUUGUUUACUACAUAAAUUCAUAUGUGUUAUUUUAAACUUUUCAUGUCUUCAGUUUUGUUUUACACAGUAGGAACCUGUAGAAGUAAGGAAAAUGUCUUGUACUGUGACUAUUUUGUGCAUUUAAAUGACUCCACAGCUCUAAAGUGGUUGUUUCUGGUUUGAUAAAUGGUUAAAGUUAAUUCCCUCAAUGAGCAGAAAGAAGAAAAAAAUGAUCAAGAGGUCACAUUUAAGUGAAACGAGAACAAUGUUGUGAGGAUGAAACCUUUUCUGCUGAUUUUUAACUAGCUUCAGGACUGUUCUGUCCUCUGAGACCACAGCAGCAUCAGCAACACACUUCUACUGACUUCCUGUUUCGUAUUUAGAUGAUAAUAAUAAUAAGUUUGUUGUUUUCUGUGAUCAGUCGCUGAUCGUCGUCCACUGAAGCUGUGCAGUGCGGAGUUCAUCCGUGGACGAAGCUCAGCGACUCUGUUUCGUGUUUCAGAAGAAAUAACUCUGCUGUAAACAUUGCAGUGUUUUUGUUUUUGUUUUUGUUUGUUUCUCCGACUUUGAUUGCUUCCAUUUGUGCACUUGUUUUAUGUGGUUGUUGCUGUAUGUGGGGGCUGUGCCUCUGUCAGACAUGAUGUCACCUGAUGCUGCAUAAUAAACCAAAGACCCACA